CUGCCAGAUAUGGGGUGCAUUGGCGUUGUUGGCAGGCUUAUGCAAUGUAUGAUUAUAUAAUGUAACUAAACCCCCAUGGUUUUCAUAUAUAGUGCUUAGUUAUUUCUCCUCUUGUUUUGCCUAUCAUAUCUUGUCUUGUUUUAAUUUGUAUUCCCAGUCCAUUUACAGUCCUGUCCUGCCCAUGUUAUGUUCAUGUUUCCAGUGGCGUACAC